GAUGAACGCUGGCGGCGUGCCUAAUACAUGCAAGUCGAGCGAACAGAUAAGGAGCUUGCUCCUUUGACGUUAGCGGCGGACGGGUGAGUAACACGUGGGUAACCUACCUAUAAGACUGGAAUAACUCCGGGAAACCGGGGCUAAUGCCGGAUAACAUUUAGAACCGCAUGGUUCGAAAGUGAAAGAUGGUUUUGCUAUCACUUAUAGAUGGACCCGCGCCGUAUUAGCUGGUUGGUAAGGUAACGGCUUACCAAGGCAACGAGUCGUAGCCGACCUGAGAGGGUGAUCGGCGGCACUGGAACUGAGACACGGUCCAGACUCCUACGGGAGGCAGCAGUAGGGAAUCUUCCGCAAUGGGCGAAAGCCUGACGCAGCAACGCCGCGUGAGUGAUGAAGGUCUUCGGAUCGUAAAACCCUGUUAUUAGGGAAGAACAAAUGUGUAAGUAACUGUGCACGUCUUGACGGUACCUAAUCAGAAAGCCACGGCUAACUACGUG
rnacentral:rRNA from 1 species